AUGCAGUCACCGCCUCCUCUAUGCAAGUACUUCAGCUGGAUAGAUCAUGAAGUGCCAAAAGAUAUCCAAAAGGACCAAUUAGAAGAUUGUUUUAGGCGCCAACGGCUGUUCGAAGAAAGGUUUCAAAGAGGCUUGGAGGAAGAGCGUCGUCAAAAAGAGAGGAUGGAGCGGAAGCAACGCGAGGAGGAGAGGGCACGCCAAGCGAAGCUUGCUCGUGAGGAGGAGAGGGCAAGAAAGCUUGCAAGAGCUCGCAAGGCACAAGAGGAGGAUGAGGCACGUGAUAAGAAGGGGAAAUGGCCCCGUAUGACUCAGUAA
rnacentral:rRNA from 1 species